rnacentral:rRNA from 1 species
GACAGAGGGUGCAAACGUUGUUCGGAAUUACUGGGCGUAAAGCGCGUGUAGGCGGCUCGGCAAGUCGGGUGUGAAAGCCCUGGGCUUAACCUAGGAAGUGCACUCGAAACUGCCAAGCUUGAGUUCUGGAGAGGAAGGCGGAAUUCUCGGUGUAGCGGUGAAAUGCGUAGAUAUCUGGAGGAACACCGGUGGCGAAGGCGGCAUCCUGGACCGACACUGACACUGAGGAGCGAAAGCCAGGGGAGCAAACGGG